UAGGGAAUCUUCCACAAUGGACGCAAGUCUGAUGGAGCAACGCCGCGUGAGUGAAGAAGGUUUUCGGACCGUAAAGCUCUGUUGUUGGUGAAGAAGGAUAGAGGUAGUAACUGGCCUUUAUUUGACGGUAAUCAACCAGAAAGUCACGGCUAACUACGUGCCAGCAGCCGCGGUAAUACGUAGGUGGCAAGCGUUGUCCGGAUUUAUUGGGCGUAAAGCGAGCGCAGGCGGAAGAAUAAGUCUGAUGUGAAGGCCCUCGGCUUAACCGAGGAAUUGCAUCGGAAACUGUUUUUCUUGAGUGCAGAAGAGGAGAGUAGAACUCCAUGUGUAGCGGUGGAAUGCGUAGAUAUAUGGAAGAAUACCAGUGGCGAAGGCGGCUCUCUGGUCUGCAACUGACGCUGAGGCUCGAAAGCAUGGGUAGCGAACAGGAUUAGAUACCCUGGUAGUCCAUGCCGUAAACGAUGAGUGCUAAGUGUUGGGAGGCUUCCGCCUCUCAGUGCUGCAGCUAACGCAUUAAGCACUCCGCCUGGGGGAGUACGACCGCAAGGUUGAAAC
rnacentral:rRNA from 1 species